GACAGAGGCCUCAAGCGUUAGGCGGAAUCACUGGGCUUAAAGCGUGUGUAGGCGGAUCGUUAAGUACCUUGUGAAAUCCCACGGCUUAACCGUGGAACUGCUUGGUAUACUGGUUGUCUUGAGGCACUCAGGGCGAGCGGAACAAAUGGUGGAGCGGUGAAAUGCGUAGAUAUCAUUUGGAACGCCAAUGGUGAAGACAGCUCGCUGGGGUGUACUGACACUGAGACACGGAAAGCCAGGGGAGCGAACGGG
rnacentral:rRNA from 1 species